GCCUAAUGUGGUAGUAAGUGGUGUUGACCCCCUGUCUACGAGGCUACAACUCGUCGCCUGCAACUCGGCCAUACUACC
rnacentral:tRNA from 1 species